ACUCAAAGGAAUAGACGGGGGCCCGCACAAGCGGUGGAGCAUGUGGUUCAAUUCGACGCAACGCGAAGAACCUUACCUGGGCUCGAAAUGUAGUGGACCGGGGUGGAAACAUCCCUUUCCCGCAAGGGACUGCUAUAUAGGUGCUGCAUGGCUGUCGUCAGCUCGUGUCGUGAGAUGUUGGGUUAAGUCCCGCAACGAGCGCAACCCUUAUCGUUAGUUGCCAGCGAGUCAAGUCGGGCACUCUAGCGAAACCGCGCGGGAUAACCGCGAGGAAGGUGGGGAUGACGUCAAGUCCUCAUGGCCUUUAUGUCCAGGGCUACACACGUGCUACAAUGGUCGGUACAAACCGUCGCAAACCUGCGAAGGGGAGCUAAUCGGAAAAAGCCGGCCUCAGUUCGGAUUGGAGUCUGCAACUCGACUCCAUGAAGCUGGAAUCGCUAGUAAUCGCAGAUCAGAACGCUGCGGUGAAUACGUUCCCGGGCCUUGCACACACCGCCCGU
rnacentral:rRNA from 1 species